CGGGAGGGACCAGGGAGAUACCAGGAGGCACCGGGAAGACAUCGGGGGACACUGGGAGGAACCGGGAAAACACCGGGAGGGACCGAGGGGGACCGUGAGGCAUCGGGAAGGACCAGGGAGAUACCGAACCUGCCUGAACAAGAGGGGCUGCAAAUUCCUUGAAUCAAGUCCAAGCAUAGAGCGCUCUGGUUCCCCCGCGCUCCUCUUCGCUCUGUGGGAGUCCCUUAUCUGUCAGUCACGUCCUGAUCUUAUAAAUCUUCCGCAGCUCGACGUGAGCGCGUUACAGGGUGUGUCGUACACGCUCCAUCUGCCAGCAGACCCGUUCUGAGCACAACAGGAGCAGAGAUGGGACGCGUGCAUCCAUCCCCCUCCGCAGCCGCCGCACGCCAGGCUCCGCGCUGGCAGCGCCUGCAGCGGUGAUGCUCCGCCGCAGGGAAAAACCCUUCCUGCACCGCCAGGCCUGCGUAGGAACCGGUAACCGACCCUGCAGCGAGGGCCAACGACAAGAGCAACACGCACCGGGGCGGUUUCCUUCGCUGCUGAGAUAAUUCCCCUUCCAAAACUACACCUUCCUCACCCCCCCAGGCUGUGCAGAGCCCGGCCACAUAGGCCUGGGCUCUGAUUUACAGCCUGCUUCCGACAGAGCUACGAGCAGAGAAAGUGCUGAUCGGGGAGAAAAUGAGGAGCAGAGUGGGGAGAGGAGGGGGGGUUCUGCCGGGGAGGUUUCAGAGCCGGGGGGGAAGCGCAGCCCCGGCAAGGAGCCCUCCCACCCCGGCUGCGUCCACCGGCCGCGGCGAGGGAUGCCCGUGGCCGAGGAGCGGGGCAGAGAGCAACGGCAAGGACAAAAACCAAGAGGAGCUUUGGGAGGAAUCGAGGCAGGGCUGGGCAGCCCCGACAUCUGCACAAACCCCUCCACCGGG